rnacentral:rRNA from 1 species
AGAGUUUGAUCAUGGCUCAGGACGAACGCUGGCGGCGUGCUUAACACAUGCAAGUCGAACGGAAAGGCCCGCUUGCGGGUACUCGAGUGGCGAACGGGUGAGUAACACGUGGGUAACCUGCCCUCAGCUCUGGGAUAACUCCGGGAAACCGGGGCUAAUACCGGAUAUUGACUUCGCCGGGCAUCUGGUGGGGUUGAAAGUUUUUCGGCUGGGGAUGGGCCCGCGGCCUAUCAGCUUGUUGGUGGGGUAAUGGCCUACCAAGGCAGCGACGGGUAGCCGGCCUGAGAGGGCGACCGGCCACACUGGGACUGAGACACGGCCCAGACUCCUACGGGAGGCAGCAGUGGGGAAUAUUGCGCAAUGGGCGGAAGCCUGACGCAGCGACGCCGCGUGAGGGAUGACGGCCUUCGGGUUGUAAACCUCUUUCAGCUCUGACGAAGCGCAAGUGACGGUAGGAGCAGAAGAAGCACCGGCCAACUACGUGCCAGCAGCCGCGGUAAUACGUAGGGUGCAAGCGUUGUCCGGAAUUAUUGGGCGUAAAGAGCUCGUAGGCGGUCUGUCGCGUCGACUGUGAAAACCCGGGGCUCAACUCCGGGCCUGCAGUCGAUACGGGCAGACUAGAGUUCGGUAGGGGAGUCUGGAAUUCCUGGUGUAGCGGUGAAAUGCGCAGAUAUCAGGAGGAACACCGGUGGCGAAGGCGGGACUCUGGGCCGAUACUGACGCUGAGGAGCGAAAGCGUGGGGAGCGAACAGGAUUAGAUACCCUAGUAGUCC